rnacentral:piRNA from 1 species
UGGAAAGCUUAAAUUUAAGUGCAAUAGUAA